AAAAUAACCAACCUACAGUUCACUAUUCUCAUUUUAUUAUUCUACUAUACUAGCAUAUAUAAAACAUAAUAGAAAACAAAGAUAAAAUUACCCAGAACAAUUUAUGAUUCCAUUUACUUUUAAGUAUAAAAUUUGAAAUAUAACCAUGUUUGGAAUUAUCUCUUCAUGUCUUUAAAUUUGUAAAUUAAAAAAAUUAAAUAAAUCUGUUUUUAUGAUUUGUAAUUAUUAUUAACUUUUGUUUGAAAUAAUGAACUGUGCAUACAUUUCUCCCUUUAAUUAUAAAUUUCCAAUAAUUUCACAAGAAUAUCAUAAAUAUUGGUCAGGAUUGGACCAGGCGAAAAAUAUACAGAAUAAUUGACGCAAACAAUUAAGAAUAGAGAAAAAUAAACAAACGUUAUAAAGAAUAGAGCAAAUUUAACAAAAAUUAUAAUGAAUAGAUAUUAAUGGACAAGAAAAAUUUUAGAAUACAGAAAUGAAGUCCGGCUUCAUCUAGAUCUAUAUACAUCUGUUACUAAAGUUGAGUCCAAUAAUACAUGUCUUUAAGGAGGGUCAUAACUGAGGUUCCUACAUGAUGUUUUUUUUAAAUGGUAAAAAAAUCUUGCCAAAUAAUGUUAAUGGUAGUUUUUGGUGCACGACAAUCAAAAGUACACUUUCUCUUAAGGUGGUACCCAACACUUUCACUAAAAUCAAUCUGGCUCGUUUAAUUUUCAUAAAAUUUUGUCAAAGUAUUUACUUUGACACUUUAACAAAAAUAUAAAAAUUUAAAAAAUUUUGAACCAACCGUUUUGUCAGAAAAAUUACACUGGGUAUAUAGCAAUUUGACAACCACCAAUUUUGAUCAUUGAGAAACUAAAUAUUCCUUUCACAACACAACGUAAUUAAAACGUUUAGCUGACUUUACAGAGUUAUCUCCCUGUAGUGUUAGGUACCACCUUAGGAUGAUAAAACAAGAUUCUUUUUGACAAAUCACUAACAGUGACAUAUAAUUAUUUGAGACCUCUAACAAAUCACAAUAAGGACAUUUUGACAAAAUACAAUAACAUUUUAACCAAUUUGAUGCUAACCGCAGGCAAAAUAUGACCAUUUGACAUCUGACGGUAAAGGACAUUCAUACCCUCUGUAAAUACCUUUUCUUGAAAUGCAAACAAAAAUAGAAAUUCUAACAUCCAGCAGGGACACUGAUAAUGUCUAUACUAAAACUACACAUAACCACAAGUAAUAACAAAAGAAUAUAAAAAAUUAUAAUAUACACAAGCAUGAUUAAAGAAAUAUUAAAACUUAAAUAUUAAAGCAUAAUGUCCAGACUGUUAAUAAUAACUUGCUGCUCAUCUUAAUCUAAGCACUUACAGCUUU
rnacentral:lncRNA from 1 species